UAGAUGCGAGAGUAGAGCAUAUCAAUAAGCGGAGGAAAAGAAACUAACAAGGAUUCCCCUAGUAACGGCGAGUGAAGCGGGAAGAGCUCAAAUUUGAAAUCUUAAAGGGUUUCCCUUUACGAAUUGUAGUUUAAAGAAGUGUUUUCUGUUGGAGUUUCGGUAAAAGUUCUUUGGAAUAGGACAUCAUAGAGGGUGAGAAUCCCGUAUUUGACCGUUACUUUCCAGCUUUGUGAUACACUUUCAAAGAGUCGGAUUGUUUGGGAAUGCAGUCCAAAAUGGGUGGUAAAUUUCAUCUAAAGCUAAAUAUUGGCGAGAGACCGAUAGCGAACAAGUACCGUGAGGGAAAGAUGAAAAGAACUUUGAAAAGAGAGUUAAACAGUACGUGAAAUUGUCAAAAGGGAAGCGUUUGACACCAGUGUUGUUUUCUCGAAAAUCAAUUAAAAAUGAUGGGAUUUUGUGUUGUAUUGACUUUAUCAGCUUUCUGCACUUUUUUCUUAUCUUUUUUAAUGCACUUUUCGUUUAACAAGUCAACAUCAAUUUCUUUUGUUGUAAAAGAGUCAUGAGGAAGGUGGCUUUCUUUUCGGAGAAAGUGUUUAUAGCCUUGGCUUCUGCAAUCGGAGAGAUUGAGGUCUGCAGCGUAGAUCCUUCGGGGUUAGAUACAUUUGUGCUAAGUUAUAGCCUUUCAUAGACAACUUGUUGACUUAUGAUUAAGUCAUUGUAGCUUACUCGCUUAUGCUAUUUUACCUACGCUUAGGAUGUUGACGAGACUGUCGAUCUC
rnacentral:rRNA from 1 species